AAACAAACAGUCGGCCCCAUGGUGUUAUCUGAGAUCUUUGGUGGCUUUGGGGACUUUUAAAACUUUGUAAAUGUCAUUGGAAAAGACCGUGGCGAAGUGGGGACGUGAGCUCUUGGACAUGUGGGUGCAAAACGGAGUUUGACCAACAUUUUGGGGAUCCUCAAUGUCCCAGAUCUCGGGCAUGCUGCACCCAGGCCUGGGCGAAGAAACAAGAUACAGAGAAGAAGACAGAAGAAAACAAGAAAGAAAAAAGGAAAGAAACGUGUUCCUGGGUAACAAUGUGCCCCCUUUCUGUGAGGUACCUGGUUCUCCUUGUGCACCAGGAGUCCUCCAGGACGAAGUAGUCCACUCCCAGCUUCAUCAGGUUCCCCCGCACCGUUUGGCCAGUCAUGCGGCUGUACAUGGAGUAGACCAGCUUGGUCCUCUCCCUGCGUGGAACGCAAUACAGCGCCGUUACAAAUCAUAAGCUGGAACACAACUAGAGUCUAAUGCAGCAGAAUGAGGACUGAAUUAACUACAAAGUUCUCCGUUUCAUAAUGCAGAACUUUGAACCUGCAAAUAUUUGGAUGACAUCCACUCUGAUGGUCCUAAAGAAAAUCAGCCAUCACAGGAUAUUCCCAAUGUUCAGACAUUAAUUUGAAUGUUUUUUUAAUCCUAAUAUCUUAUUAAGUGAAGCAUUGUAACAAGCUUGUGAUCACUUUCUCCUGUAGUUUAUGUGUGAAGAUAGUGUUGACAUUUCCUGCUGCUAAGGAAAGAUAGAGUGAUACAUGUAGGAAAGAGAGACCAGAUUUACACGAAGACAGAUUUUACACACAUUUUACAUUCAAUUCAAAAACUGCCUCGAGCCACAUAUGGAUGCUUUGUUGAACACGUCAUUUUGGUUCCUGAUUUAAGCAGCGGAGCAGUUUGUGGUGCUGCGAGUUCCACUGACCUCAGACCAGAGUCUUCAUAGUGGGGGUGGUUGACGAUGGGCCGGCCUGUGGAAAGCUUCACGCUGGCCAUAGUGGGCAUGGCCCCAGCAAACACAGAAUCUGCAUCAAUCACACAUAAAACCACAAACAAAUGAGACUACAAAGAGAUGGAACAGGGAAGUUGUUUAGGUAUAGAAUGUACUUAGAAAAAACCUGAUACUAGACCAGAUCCCCUUGACGUCACACUUACGCAUUUAGGACCCGAUCUUGCACCGGGCGCAGCGCCAAGACUGAUGCAAGUGUCUUUGCUAGUUUAAGACCGAUGCAGUUGUGAAUUUCCCGUCCAGCGCCUAUGUUGUUUAAAUGGCAAAUGCACCUGAAUGCAUCUGUGCGCCAAUGGGUGUGCUGGUCUUACAGGGAGGUGUGUUCAGGUGCAUUCUUGGCAUAUUGCUAACUUGAGGCAGCGGAAAGUGAGCUCGCCGUUGACU